AUACACCCGUACGCAUCUGCUCCUCUCCUCGAUCCUCACCUUUACCCAGGCCGAUCUAUUCCCCCUCGCCGCCGCCGCCGCACCUCAGCCCGCUCGCCGCCCCCGUCGCCGCCUCCGCGGUCGCACCUCAGCCCGCUCGCCGCCCCCGUCGCAACCCAACCCUUCCUCCCCUCCAAUGGAUGCCGCCCCAACCACCUCAUCCAAUAGGAAGCCCCAGUUCGGCAGCCUCUGUUCCCGCCCUUCAGCGGCCACCUCGCCACCCCUCCAAUGCCCAGCACGUCCUUAUCCAACGCCGCCCUUCAGCGCCCACCCAUCCGCCUGCCCGCCCGGCAACGCCCGAUUGAAUUGUUGCUGCCAAGACCUGCCUCAAUGUGGUUUGCAUCAUUGCGGCGACGACAUCGUCGAUCUUCGACUCCGGCGGCUACAUCCAGAAGGACUACCACAAUUCUCGUGGCUGGUUGGUUUGGUGCUGAUGCUCCUUACGUCCAUGUCAUUGUAGAUGGCUGUGGAAAUCUGGAAAAUUUGCCUUUUCUAUCAAGAUGAGAAUCAACAACAUAAAGUUCUAGAAGGAUUCAUGGACAGAAAAGAUAUCUCCUUUUAUGAGUUAAUCAAAUUGAUUGAAGAAGUUGGCUUCUCGCCGGCAUAUGGUUUCUUGUACUACAGGAAGAAAUACCCGCGUGGCAGAUGCUAUUCUGACAUUGCUUCUGACCAUGAAAUACUUUGUGUUCAGUCUUCCCCUGAACAGCAAUGCUAUACACACGAUGCCACGCAGACGAUUUGUGGACGAUGCUAAAUUCAAGCCAUGUGAUGCACAGCAGCAGCACUGUUCUACGGUUGGAUUUGACUGUCGGCUACACAUCGUGUGUGCAGUUUUGUCUGCACAGCAAUUUCGUCCCCUGAAAGUUAGCAUAGGAAUACACAAUGUUUCUUCAGAAUGACAGAGCACCAAAUCGAGGCAGCAGGUUGCCAUCGAAUUCCACAGAAUAAAACUGACUUGUGGAUGUGAUUAAUCACUUACCAAAGUACAAGUUCAUUCUCUGAUGAAAAAGGUCAGUGUUUGGGGCGCACUGCGUAGCAAGGAUAUGUUGUACGCUAUAUAGCUCUUCUGUGGGCUGUGAGAGGUUGGUGUUCUCAUGCCUGCUUGGUCGGAACCUUUUCUUUUGAGUCGAUUGAUGGACAAUGGGCAUGAGGGCAUCUCUGCACUAACUACGAUGUAUGUGUACUCCACUACAUACAGAUAGCUCGCUCGUCGUAUCUCGACAGAAGAAGAACAACUUUGAUGGAUGGAGAUGGAUUUCUUUCCUGUUGUUGCAAUUGUAUGUGCCUUGCCGACUAAACUAUCUUCUUUCUUAUUUACUGUCAGGUAGCUCUUUCAAAGAUAGCUCGCUCGUCGUAUCUCGACAGAAGAAGAACAACUUUGAUCGAUGGAGAUGGAUUUCUUUCCUGUUGGUGCGAUUCAGGGAAGCUAUUUGUGGUGUAAUAUGCAGCUAAAGGUAUUCCAGCAUGAGCUUCCAUGCACAACAUCAGUGCUUAAAAUAACUUGAUUCUCUGCUCACAACCAACUGCAGCAAGAAAUAAUUUCACAGCCACAGAUCGCGCCAAAGCAUAGCCAGCCUUGGUCCAAGGAGAUAGAGAAGUACUGCUCGUUCGCAAGUUGGAGCCGUCCAUGAGCUCACUGCUCUUGGUCGCUCAUAGCAAAGAACUGCAUGUUGGCUGGGAUCUUGCCCAUGUAAUAUCUUCAGUACUGUAAUGGCAGAUUCUACUUUUUUUUGCAAUUUUUUUGGGUGUUUAGGCCAUGCUUAUUGGGCCAAGAGGUGGACCCCGUAUAAUGCCGACCUGCUAAAUACGUUUACAGUUUG